UGUAGAUGUACAUGAUGGUGAGAUUCACUGUGGUAUAUUUGUAUAUAUACAUAGGAAAAUUAGGUUAGAAUUGAUCUACUGUCUUGCCCUAUCCCAUCCCUCCUCUCUUUGCCUAAUUCCCCAUUGUCUAGUCCACCAAUCUUUCUUCUAUUCUUUUUUCAUCUACCCUCCUUACUUUUUAUUUGCUUUCACAUAUCAGAGAAAACAUUUUACCUUUGACUUUUUGGGACUGACUCAUUUCACUUAGCAUGAUAGUCUACAGUUCCAUCCAUUUCCUUGGCAAAUGCCAUAAAGUCAUUCUUUAUGGCUAAGUAAUAUUACAUUGUGUAUAUAUACCACAUUUUCUUUUUCCAUUUAUCUGUUGAAGGGCACCUAGGUUGGUUCCAUAGUUUGGCUAUUAUGAAUUGUAUGCUAUAAACAUUAAUGUGGCUGUGUUGCUGUAGUAUGCUAAUUUUAAGUCCUUUGGAUAUAUACCAAGGAAUGGAAUAGCUGGAUCAUUUCUAGCCUUAUUUUUUUCUUUAGUUGUAGACGGACACAACAUCUUUAUUUAUUUUUAUGUGAUGUGAGGCUCGAACCCAGUGCCUCACACGUGUGAGGCAGGCACUCUACCACUGAGCUACAGCCCCAGCCCUCAUUCCUAGCUUUUUGAGGAAGCUCCAUAGUGCUUUCCAGAAUGGUUGCACCAAUUUGCAGUUUCACCAGCAAUGUAUGAGUAUACCUAUUUGCCCACAUCCUCGCCAACAUUUAUUGUUAUUUGUCUUGAUAAUUGCCAUUCUGACUGAAGUGAGAUGAAAUCUCAAUGUAGUUUUAGUUUGCAUUUCUCUAAUUUGUAGAGAUGUUGAACAUUUUCAUGUAUUGACCACUUGUAUUUCUUCUUUUGAAAAGUUCCUGUUUAAUUCUUUUGCCCAUUUAUUGAUUGGGUUAUUUGUCUUUUGGUGUUAAGUUUUU
rnacentral:lncRNA from 1 species